UACGAAGGGGGCUAGCGUUGCUCGGAAUCACUGGGCGUAAAGCGCACGUAGGCGGCUUGUUAAGUCAGGGGUGAAAUCCUGGAGCUCAACUCCAGAACUGCCUUUGAUACUGGCGAGCUUGAGUCCGGGAGAGGUGAGUGGAACUGCGAGUGUAGAGGUGAAAUUCGUAGAUAUUCGCAAGAGCACCAGUGGCGAAGGCGGCUCACUGGCCCGGUACUGACGCUGAGGUGCGAAAGCGUGGGGAGCAAACAGG
rnacentral:rRNA from 1 species